GAUGAACGCUGGCGGCGUGCCUAAUACAUGCAAGUCGAGCGAACAGACGAGAGUGCUUGCACUCUCUGCCGUUAGCGGCGGACGGGUGAGUAACACGUGGGUAACCUACCUAUAAGACUGGGAUAACUUCGGGAAACCGGAGCUAAUACCGGAUAAUAUUUAGCUUCGCAUGAAGCAAUAGUGAAAGACGGUUCUGCUGUCACUUAUAGAUGGACCCGCGGUGUAUUAGCUAGUUGGUGAGGUAACGGCUCACCAAGGCAACGAUACAUAGCCGACCUGAGAGGGUGAUCGGCCACACUGGGACUGAGACACGGACCAGACUCCUACGGGAGGCAGCAGUAGGGAAUCUUCCGCAAUGGACGAAAGUCUGACGGAGCAAUGCCGCGUGAGUGAAGAAGGUUUUCGGAUCGUAAAACUCUGUUGUAAGGGAAGAACAAGUACGUUAGUAACUGAACGUACCUUGACGGUACCUUACCAGAAAGCCACGGCUAACUACGUG
rnacentral:rRNA from 1 species